UUCCGCUCGAGACACUGGCUGAACAAGAACCCGUGUGGGCUCUUCUGUGCAAGCGCCACGCAA
rnacentral:ribozyme from 1 species